AAACCAUUAUGCGGCCAAUUUUUGACCAGCUUCUUAAACCUCUUCCAAGCUUCGCUCAACGUUUCUCGAUCUUUCUAUUGAAAAUUUGUGAUUUCUUGCCUCCUCUU